rnacentral:rRNA from 1 species
AAUCAACGCUGGCGGCGUGCCUAACACAUGCAAGUCGAACGCGGAAGGGGCUUCGGCCCUGAGUAGAGUGGCAGACUGGUGAGUAACGCGUGGAUGACCUGCCCUUGAGCGGGGGAUAACGUUUCGAAAGGAACGCUAAUACCGCAUGAUGUCCCGCCUUUAGAAAGGUGGAGACCAAAAGCCGGGGACCGCAAGGCCUGGCACUCAAGGAGGGGUCCGCGUCCGAUUAGCUAGUUGGUGAGGUAAUGGCUCACCAAGGCUCCGAUCGGUAGCCGGCCUGAGAGGGCGGACGGCCACACUGGGACUGAGACACGGCCCAGACUCCUACGGGAGGCAGCAGUGGGGAAUGUUCGCAAUGGGCGCAAGCCUGACGACGCAACGCCGCGUGGAGGAUGAAGAUCUUCGGGUCGUAAACUCCUGUCGAAUGGGACGAAUGGCCCGGCUAUGAAUAAUAGUCGGGAAUGACGGUACCGUGAGAGGAAGCCCCGGCUAAACUCCGUGCCAGCAGCCGCGGUAAUC